AGUGGAUCGCUUCUGAGCGCGUGCAGCGUGCAGCCAAUAGGAUUCUGCGCACGUGAGGGGAGUUUAGUGAGCUCGCGGCAAAGAGCUCUGCAGCUCUGUGUGCGCGCGCCUUUCUGAAACCGGGACAUCAACUAAAUGUCGUGGACAUGGAUGGCUCUAGUAAAAACAGAAGGUCCAUUGGCUUAUACACUUUCCCCUGGAUAUUAACCUGUCUCUGUGGAUGAGGCAGAAGCGCCAGUUGGACUAAAAUGUGCUGACAGUAUAUGGAGUUGCUGAGCUCCUCGAUUCUAUUAAGGAGGUUUCUUUUCUGGCAUCCAGUGAAAUCUCCAGUGAAGCACUUCCUCUGUUCCUCAGCUCUGCACCUGCUGGCCAUCCAGUGACACGUCAUCAUUUCUUUCUUAAGUAAAAUGAGUAAAGCUCCUCUGCUGGACUAUGGGCUUCAGUCUCUGGCUCCAGCUCCUGGUUAUGGGGUUACAGCUGGGCUGUCCCUGGCUACAGACACAGAGCAGAGCACAGCCUUAUGCUUUGUAGGCCUUCUGCUACUCUUCCUCAUCUUCCUGUUGGUGCGGUGUUUCCGGAUCCUUCUGGACCCAUACGGUAGCAUGCCGGCAUCCUCCUGGAAUGACCACAAAGAUGGACUGAGAACAGUUUGAUUUUACUCAAGUGUAGGAAAAAGGGAAACCCCUUUUUAUGCUUGCAGCAAAUGUAAAUGGAGAUCGAAUGCUCAGUGGCCCGGAUAUUGAUUCAAGCUGGACAGACGCUUGAGUUAGAUAUGAUUAAGUGGAAGGUGGGAAUUCUCUGAACAGGCUGUCUUGGGAACGGUCAGCACUUGUCUGUCUGUUUUUGUAUAUGCAAAUGAUACUCAAACAAUCACUACUCAAAUGGUAUACAAAUUCAUAGAUAAGUAUCACAACAACCUGCAAGACAAUUCUGUCAGAAUGUGUUCAUCCAAAAAUAACUUGUGUACAUAGGACAGCUUUAACUUUUCACUAUUGUCUACAUUUUUUUAUUAAACAGGAAUUUAAAUAUUUGUUAUAUACCAAGUUACAGUAUUAUAUAAUAGACUUGCAUGCGUGAAUGCAGCUUCAGUUGUACUGUCAAGAGUUUUGUUCUGCUUUUUUUUAAAAUUAUUAUUAUUAUUCAAUGAUCUCUAGAUUUGCUGAUGCUGAAAUUCAAAUCACUGAUAAGCUGAGAAAUUGUGCCUUUAUAUCUGUCAGGAAAGCUUUAUUUUUGUAAGAACAUUUACUGCAGGGUUUUCUGUCCCUUUCCUAAUGUUCUCCUGAACAAACUCAUUUCCGCACCUAACAUAUUGCCAGCUCCUCAAACUUGUACUAUUUUGGUCUACUGUUAUCAGUAUCUUCAGGAUUGAUGGUUGAGCGAAGCUGUUUAGUCAUUAAGAUCCUUCUUGCGUCAACUGCUAAUUAUUAUAGAUGCUAUAAUCACAUCGAUAUUUCAGCGUUAAAAUCUGUUGGAUUACUCUGGCUGUUUUUUGUUUUUUUUGAAGUUCACUCUCAGGCUAAUUGAGGAAGGAAUACACUGCUCACUCAAACCAUCCUCUCUGUGUGUAAUUUAAUCAAUGUUUAUUACACUGACAGUAUUUGCACUGAGGCUCUGCAGAUAGGAUCAAGCAUAGCGUUAUCAGCCUGUCCUUAUAUUUCACUCUCUUAGUCUUAUUCACUUCAGACAUUUUUUUUUUUGGUUGCAUUUACAUAUCAGUUUUUGCAAAGAAAAUCAUAUUCAAUUUUGCAUUCAUUUGCAUCCCUUUCAUUUGCAUUUCUAUCUAUAUGCACCGAAUUUUAUUAUAUAAUGUCCUCUUUGCAUAACACUCAAACUAGCAUGUGCCUCUGUCGCUAAAUCCAACCAAAUCUUUCUAGCUGUAAGCCACAAAUUCACAAACCUUUUGCUUAAUUCCCGUCACACUGACAGAUCUAAUCCUAAUAAAGCAGGAAAGCUCACAUUUAACAAGCUGACUCAGGUAUUUUAGCAAAGGGCUGCAGUUAAAACUCCUGCACAAACUCUGGUUUUCUGACUGCAUCCAUUUUCUGUUCGCUGAUUUGCACGACGUAAUACACUUAGCAUUAAAUAUUCUGUUUAUUACUCUCUUUUUAAAGCAAUUAGGUUUUUGGUUUGUUGUGUGUGGCAGCAUGUUUGAAUACUGGGUUGUUGUCUAAGCACUAGAUAAAUGAGUGAGUGUAGAGAAAAGUCAUUAAAAUAGAGAGUUAUUGAUCAUGCGAUUGAUUCCAGCUGGUGUUAAAAUCUCUGUGUACUGUUGAUGAGCAGUGCAAAUUGGAGACACUCCAGAGACACUCGUGUUACAUAAACAUCCAUCAGGCCCAUCACAGUUUGUUUGUUUAUGUGUGUGUUUGUGAAUGUGUGUGUGUGUGUGUGUAGUGCUUGUUAGGGACUUGUUAACAUCACUCAGGUGAGUGCUACACAGUGUUUGUGAGUCAUCAUUAUGCGUACAAAUAAUUAAAGCUGUGUUUGAUAUCCACAUCAGCAUAAUGCUCAAAAGAUGUCAAUUUGUCUUAUAAAUCUGACUAAAAUGCCACUUCUGUCACUCUCUGCUGCUAGACUCUCUAGCAUCUUCGAUGUCACUGGGGCGUAAAAGCAUCUACCAAAAUAAUGAAUGGAUUUUUUUUAAUGAGUAUGUGUGAAUUGGAUCUAAGCUGGUUUAUAGAAAACUUAAUGAGAAUAUCUAAAGGUUUAUAUGUAUCAGGGGAACUUGCCUGUCAAACAUGGGACUAGAAUAUUAUGGGAUAUUUAUUUUUCAUUAAUCCGGCUUUUACCUAUUUGCACUUUUGAUAUUUUAUCCACUAAUUACCAUUCUUCACGACAAAAUAGACUGCCAGUUAAUUUAGCAUUGAUUGUUAGAUAAAAGCAAAGUUAGCAUCCGAAAUGAAAUGCUAAAUGAAGUAAAAAGUUAAUAUAUAAUUAUUUUAGGUUAAAAAUUUCUCUGCUGCCGGUCAGUGUCCUUAAACUCUUCCUAACUCGUUAAUUCGGAUCCUGCUACUUCCUGACAGAUGCACUUAUGAAACAGUGAACAAUGACCCCUGUUGUCAAACGAAACAAAGAAGAGAUGAAUCAUCACGUUCUCAUAAUUUCCCAGUGGAGAUUCGGUGAAGGCCAAUGAGCAGAACGUACAGGAGGGCUUUCUCUCCUGGGACAGACUUCAGGGUUCCGUCUUAGCUGACAGGAAGGAUAAAAGUGCACUUGCACGCAAGACACACUAGAUAUAAGCUCUCGGUUUUACUGUAGCCUGCAAAAUUUUAAACAUGCUUACAGACACACUUCAAUCUUAAUAAUGGCAUUGACCCUCAAGUGAACUUGAUACGUCCAAUCAUUAUUUUCUCAAUUCACAUUUUUCUUACACAAUAUAUUAAUAAAUUAUUCAUAUAUUAUAGCAAUUAUGUAGCCAAUACAUACAUUUUAUUAGGUGGCAAAUUAUUCAGUUCCACCUCUUAGUGUUGUCUAGACACUAAGGACUCUGACAAAGUGUAGAGUAUCUUAAAAGGGUCUUUAAUGACUUCCCGUUGAACAUCAGGACUUCACAAAUGAAAUGAACUUGCUCGAUCAUUACUGCUUGUUCCUGAAGUGACUUUGUUUUGCAGCCCUUUAGCUAUUUAAAAGAAAUCCACAGGCUCUCUCAGCCCAGAUGUAUUUUAUGAACUAUUCAAAUAUCAGACUCAUUAAUCACAUGUAUACAAUAAUACUGCGGCUAUUUAUUGGCUUUUUGUUCCAGAGUUUUCCACCAACAGAACAGGUCGAAGAUGAUAUAAUAUAUAGGCCUACUUACAGGCUAAUAAUCAUAAGAACUCAAUAAUAAAUACUGCUUAGAUAAUGGUGGGUUGUUGUUUUCAGCACUGUAUGAAAAUUUGAGGAAACAAAAUCCCAGACUCCCUGGCUUUCCUGUCACACUAUGAGACACCACAAGUCCCUUUGGGAAUUCAGGGCAGACCGCCUACUGGCUGAGAGCCACUUGGCUAUUUUGUGUGGGAAAUCUGUGAAUAUAAUAGUGGACAGUUUAACUGACAAUAUAAAGGCCACUUAAGGGAACCAGUCCAUGUAAACAUUCAUGUUUACAAUAUAUAUUCUAGCACUAAUGAAAAAAAACCCCUUAUAUUUAUCAGUAAUAUUAAUUGUGAAUAAGACGUGCACUUGCUGCUUCUGGUCACUGACAAACAUGCAAAACUAGAACACACACAGCUACUGUAAGUGCACUAGGCUAAUCUAACAUCAGGAAUGCACAGGCUGUUGGGUAAUAGUUGAGGAAUGACAUGACUGCCUUAGAUGCCUGUCAUAGUCUUAUCGCAGCAUUUUUACGUAUCAUCCUUAUCUCAGAGUCAUCUAUCUGCAAAGGACUUAGAGUCAUGUUCACAAACAUGCACAUAAUGUUAGAAGCGGGUCCACUCUUGAUGACCUGUUGCAUACAUUUGAGUGAGAGAUUUAGGCAAGAGAUCAGGUAGCUCAACUAAGAAAAAUUACCUUAAAGCAAAUGUCAGUGAAGUAUACAGUUGGACAAGGAAACAGAACAAGGAAAUCUGAAAGAACUAGACAAAAAACACUGAUAUUAAUAUUUAUUCGCAUAAAAGUGGGUGUAUUUUUUUUUUUUGCAAGAUUGUUACAACAUUCCAAAAUAUUAGGUCAAAUGGAAAUAGUGUGAAAGAAUCAAAAGUAAAAGUUUAAUCUUCACUCUCUUGAACGCCAGACCUAAUUCUCAGGGGAUGGCAUCCUGCUGAGCUUUAACAGAGCCGUCAGAAUAAAGAAAUCUUACUUUUGGGUAAACAAACCUGUACACAUAUGGGUGUAUACGUUAUUAUAAAAAAAAGUGCAGUGAAUUAAACUGUUAUUAUUGUGACUGUGUCAAUAAAAAAUCAUAUAAUACACUAUUUGGACAUAUUGAUUACAUAAAAAUGUUGUAACGUCUGUGAAACAUAGCCAUAUCACACUGUUUUGUUGGAAUAAAUUAAAUCAACUUAAAAGCAGAUCACAUUCAACUGCAAAACAUCCACCUAAUUGAUUAACUAUUUCUCCAUUUGAUCCAGGCUACCGUUUUAAAGUCUAUAGGUGAAAUGUGGUUAAACCUCUGAAUGUGGUUUCUGCACACAGUUUGUGUCUGGAUGGAAAUCCCUUGGUCACUGUUGCCA